rnacentral:rRNA from 1 species
AGCUUAACUGUCAGGCUUUCAGGAGAUACUGUCUGGCUCGAGGCCGGGAGAGGUGAGAGGUACUUCAGGGGUAGGGGUGAAAUCUUGUAAUCCUUGAAGGACCACCAGUGGCGAAGGCGUCUCACCAGAACGGACCUGACGGCAAGGGACGAAAGCUAGGGGCACGAACCGGAUUAGAUACCCGGGUAGUCCUAGCCGUAAACGAUACUCGCUAGGUGUCGGCCACGGUGCGACCGUUGUCGGUGCCGUAGGGAAGCCGUGAAGCGAGCCACCUGGGAAGUACGGCCGCAAGGCUGAAACUUAAAGGAAUUGGCGGGGGAGCACCACAACGGGUGGAGCUUGCGGUUUAAUUGGAUUCAACGCCGGAAAUCUUACCGGGACCGACAGCAAUAUGAAGGCCAGGCUGAAGACU